AUCCUUAGCUGUGAACUCUAGCACAGCCCCACACCCCUACAAAAUCCUCCUUACCGUGGCCCUGUGUACGCCAACCCUCUCCCAAGUGAAUGAACAGACAGCCACAAGGUGUGUGGGAGAGACAGUGGCCUCCUACUCUUGACUCCAGUGCCUACAGAAAGGAACCAGGUUUCCAUUUUCCUGAAGACCCAUCAACCCCACUUGGUCUUGUUGAACAAGUUACCCCAUUCUCAUUCACUCCUGCAAGAAGGGCAAAAUCCGUGCCCCUGGAGAUCCAGAAAGAGAUAAGGAGAAGCCAGGAGGAGAUAGAUAUGGUGGCUGAGCUGACACCAGCAGCACGGCUCCAGUUCAGCCUUUUCUUUGCAAGCGCUGCCAGCAAUCUGUCUGUGCAUGGCUUUCUGCAAGUCUCACCG